CGUCAAACGAAGAAUAUCAAGUCUGACGCAGAGCUGGCCAUAUUUCUCCACAACAGAUCGCCUGUCCGGUUCCAGUCUCAGUACCUGGACAGAAGAUUCCAUCCCCUUCUUCCUCGGGCCAUCCAAUCAUGCUCCUCAUCUUACUCAGAAGAACCUCUUCCAUGAGUAUGAACACGGGCGCCACUUCGUAGGUAAACCUGUGUGGGCAGCCAAUAACACACACACUGUAAGUCACCAUCACAACCUCCUCUUCCUUCUUCAACAGUCAUCCUGCCAAAGGGCUGAAAACGACACAGGUCUUACAUGUUAGUGUUAGCGGUUGAGGUCAACCAUUCCCCUGCCAGGCCAAUGAUGUCAAGGCCAGAUGACAGCUGGUUGAAGAAGCGCGGGUGCCCUGGGGUGGACGAUGUUUAUCAUGUGAGGGGUAUCUUGGCAAUCGACAAGGAGCUGCUCAAGGUUCUCGGGCUGGUCAGGGAGCUCUAAGGUGAAACCGUCCAAGCUCUCCUUCAGUUGAUGGACAUGAUGAAAGUCCAGCACUUUAGAGCUCCUGUUAAGAGAUUUGCAG